AUUGAACGCUGGCGGCAGGCCUAACACAUGCAAGUCGAGCGGAUGAAGGGAGCUUGCUCCUGGAUUCAGCGGCGGACGGGUGAGUAAUGCCUAGGAAUCUGCCUGGUAGUGGGGGAUAACGUCCGAAAACGGGCGCUAAUACCGCAUACGUCCUGAGGGAGAAAGUGGGGGAUCUUCGGACCUCACGCUAUCAGAUGAGCCUAGGUCGGAUUAGCUAGUUGGUAGGGUAAAGGCCUACCAAGGCGACGAUCCGUAACUGGUCUGAGAGGAUGAUCAGUCACACUGGAACUGAGACACGGUCCAGACUCCUACGGGAGGCAGCAGUGGGGAAUAUUGGACAAUGGGCGAAAGCCUGAUCCAGCCAUGCCGCGUGUGUGAAGAAGGUCUUCGGAUUGUAAAGCACUUUAAGUUGGGAGGAAGGGCAGUAAGUUAAUACCUUGCUGUUUUGACGUUACCAACAGAAUAAGCACCGGCUAACUUCGUG
rnacentral:rRNA from 1 species